UCUCUUUGUUUUAUUCAUUCUCUCUGCUGGUUUCUAUCGUCCCUCUUCUCUUUGCCGCUCCUUACCCGCAAUUUGUGUUCGGUAAUGGAUUGCCUCGCCAAGAUUGAGUUUCAGGGGAAAUGUUUGCUUCAAUAUUAGUGUGUGUAUAAAUUGGAUUUACGCAGCACACCCCUCCUCCCAAUGGAUAGUUCCCCAAAACAACGUGGCAGGCCGAAGCCCUCCGAACACGACAUUUUUGGUCUCUCUCUAUCUAUACGUAUCUACCUAUUACUCUUUUCUGACGUUACUGUGUUUUAAUAGUUGUUAAAUUCAAUGCACACAACUUGUUUGAUUAAACGUGUGAAAGAAAUUGCUCGCUUGCUACUGGGGUUUCAGGAAUUUGUUGGUACGCCGAUCAAACGAUGAGGUUUAUUGAUAGGUCUAGGGAAAUUUUGAAGGUGCAGAAAAUUCAGAGAAUCGUGUCGCAUACCGGGUUUUAUUGCUUCACAGCAGUUGUUACUUGUGCCUACACUAAUAACAUGUGAGUUUGGUCCUAACUCUAAUUCUGAAAUGUAAAUUAAAUUGGGGGGUUUUAUUGGUUUGUUGAUUUGGGUUAUACAGGACCCAGCUGGAAUAGAGCUUUUGACUAAUGAUGUCAAGUUAUAUGUGCUCUUGGCAAUUGCUUUGAAAUCGAAGAGUGGGGACCAAUUAAGUGGUGCGUAAUGUCUGAUCAUUUCACCCGUCAAGGGAAAUCCCCGUUUGAAUAUCACGUUGGUUGGGGUUGUGCUUACCGAUCACUACAGACCAUCAUUUCUUGGUUUAGGCUCCAGCAUUACACUUCACACAGGUGAGCUGUAAUGUUAUAAAUGUAGGAUCAGGAGAUGAAAUUCCUGAAAAAUGUCGUGAGCUGGCCUUGCAUUUUGAAACCCAGGGAACUCCCAUAAUGAUUGGUAAGUCAGAUUCAAUAUCAGCUGGUGUCGACGUCUGAUAACAAGAAAGCAGAAUACAAAGAUGAUGAAAUAUCAGCUGACGUCAAAUAUCCAGUGAAGCAUGCACUCUCUCGUGAGCUACAGGAACCGCAUCGGAGAAUUUACCGCCAGUAUCUCUUUUUGCGAGCCAAUCUUAACGUCAAAGAUCAACAAAUACAAUGUCUUAGGGCCGAGUCGAGUAUGAAUGCCCAAGCUGUGAAGACAUUUGUAGAAGAAAACCAGAAAUUGGCUAUGGAGUGCUCAAACUUACUUUCUCAGUGUAAUGCGUAACUCAAAAAGUUUCCAUCUUUUAUUUGCUUUCAAAGGAGGUAGGGGAGUGCCAUGGUUGAUUCCGAUCAAGAUCGAACUGCAGUUGCAGCGGCGACAAUGAUAGGAGGAGAGAGCAGUAAAGGGAAGGUUGUGGGUUCAGUGAUUCUGUUCAAACAUUUAGUGAUUCCGUUCAAAUCAAUUAGUGAUUGGUUGUACGUUUGUACAAUAACAAGUUUGUAUUUGAGCACUUGCUUAUAUCCCUCCUUUUUUUUAGUUUUAGAUUUAUCCAAUAACCCUCCUUACUCAUUCCUCAACUCUCAUUGGGUAUUUGCUUCUA